AGUCUAAGGUUUCCGACGGAAGGUUAAUCCGCGUCGGGUUAGUCGGGCCUAAGCCGAGGCCGAAAGGCGUAGGCGAUGGACAACAGGUUAAUAUUCCUGUACCACCAGCGUGGAGCGAAGGGGGGACACAGAAGGGUAGGCCAGCCGGGGGAUGGAGUAGCCCGGUGCCGGACCCGUAGAGCGAGGAACCUCUCAGGGAAAGCCGGGAGGGGAGCUGGAGGGGUCGUAGGCGGAGCCGUAAGGCCGGAAGUGGUUGAUCCCAGGCUGUCGAGAAAAGCGUCUAAGCGAAGAAGUGCGGGUGUCCGUACCGCAAACCGACACAGGUAGACGGGUAGAGAAUACUAAGGCGAUCGAGAGAACCCUCGUUAAGGAAUUCGGCAAAAUGGGUCCGUAACUUCGGGAGAAGGACCGCCUCUGCUGGUGAAGUCUGGACAGAUGGAGCUGGCGGGGGCCGCAGAGAAAAGGCCCUACCGACUGUUUACCAAAAACACAGGUCUCUGCCAACUCGCAAGAGGAAGUAUAGGGGCUGACACCUGCCCAGUGCCGGAAGGUUAAGAGGAGGGGUUAGGGUAGUUUCGACUACUCGAAGCGCUGAAUUGAAGCCCCGGUGAACGGCGGCCGUAACUAUAACGGUCCUAAGGUAGCGAAAUUCCUUGUCGNNUUGUCGGGUAAGUUCCGACCCGCACGAAAGGUGUAACGACUUGGGCACUGUCUCAACGAGGGGCUCGGCGAAAUUGAACUACGCGUGAAGAUGCGCGUUACCCGCAGCAGGACAAAAAGACCCCGUGGAGCUUUACUGUAACUUGACAUUGAGUUAGGGUUCAAUCUGUGUAGGAUAGCUGGGAGGCCAGGAAGCUGGGGCGCCAGCCUCGGUGGAGCCGCCGUUGAAAUACCAGCCUGGUUGGACUUUGGCCCUAACGUGUUGCCGUGAACCGGGACGGGGACAGUGUCAGGUGGGCAGUUUGACUGGGGCGGUCGCCUCCUAAAGAGUAACGGAGGCGCCCAAAGGUUCCCUCAGGCUGGAUGGAAAUCAGUCGGAGAGUGUAAAGGCAAAAGGGAGCUUGACUGCAAGAGAGACACCUCGAGCAGGGACGAAAGUCGGGCUUAGUGAUCCUACGGUUCCGAGUGGAAGGGCCGUAGCUUACCGGAUAAAAGCUACCCCGGGGAUAACAGGCUGGUCUGGCCCAAGAGUUCAUAUCGACGGCCAGGCUCGGCACCUCGAUGUCGGCUCGUCGCAUCCUGGGGCUGGAGUAGGUCCCAAGGGUUGGGCUGUUCGCCCAUUAAAGCGGUACGCGAGCUGGGUUCAGACCGUCGUGAGACAGGUCGGUCUCUAUCCGCUGCAGGCGCAGGUGAUUUGAGGAGGGCUGCCCCUAGUACGAGAGGACCGGGGUGGACGGACCGCUGGUGUACCAGUUGUCCCGCCAGGGGCAUAGCUGGGUAGCUAAGUCGGGUAGAGAUAACCGCUGAAAGCAUCUAAGUGGGAAGCUCACUCCAAGAUGAGAUCACCCAUCCCGUUAAGGGAGUAAGACCGCUGGGAGACGACCAGUUAGAUAGGCGGCGUGUGUAAGGCCAGCAAUGGCUUCAGCUAAGCCGUACUAAUGGUCGAGGGCUUAAUCGA
rnacentral:rRNA from 1 species